rnacentral:tRNA from 1 species
GGUUGUAGCUCAGUGGUAGAGCAUUUGCCUGACAGGUGUGAGGCACUGGGCUCUAUCCUCAGCACCACAUAAAAAUAAAUAAAUAAGUAAAGGUAUUGGGACCGUCUAAAAAUAUAAAAUAAAUAAAUAAAUAAUACAGGGCUGGGAAUGUAACUCAGUGGUAAAGCACCCCUGGGUUCAAUCCCCAGUACCA